GAUGAACGCUGGCGGCGUGCCUAACACAUGCAAGUCGAACGGAAAGGCUCCUGCUUGCAGGGGUACUCGAGUGGCGAACGCGUGAGUAACACGUGGGUGUUCUGCCCUGCACUUCGGGAUAAGCCUGGGAAACUGGGUCUAAUAUCGGAUAGGAUCACAUUUUGGAUGGUGUGGUGGAAAGUUUUUCGGUUUGGGAUGAGCUGGCGGCCUAUGACCUUGUUGGUGGGGUAAUGGCCUACCAAGGCGUCGACGGAUAGCCGGCCUGGGAGGGUGUACGGCCACCAUGGGACUGAGGGACGGACCAGACUCCUACGGGAGGCAGCGGUGGGGAGUAUGGCACAAUAGGCGCAAGCCUGUGGCAGCGGCGCCGCGUGGGGGAUGACGGCCUUCGGGUUAAGAACUCCUUUCGCUGGGGACGAAGCGGAAGUGACGGUACCUGGAGAAGAAGCACCGGCUAACUACGUG
rnacentral:rRNA from 1 species